AUACUUACCUGGCAGGGGAGAUACCAUGAUCACAAAGAUUGUUUUCCCAGAGUGAGGCAGGAGGCAGGAGGUGGAAUUUUGGGAUGUUUUAUGAUUAAACACAACUUAUUGUCCAGGAC
rnacentral:snRNA from 1 species